rnacentral:rRNA from 1 species
AACGAACGCUGGCGGCAUGCCUAACACAUGCAAGUCGAACGAGACCUUCGGGUCUAGUGGCGCACGGGUGCGUAACGCGUGGGAACCUGCUCUUAGGUUCGGAAUAACUCCCCGAAAGGGGUGCUAAUACCGGAUAAUGUCUUCGGUCCCAAGAUUUAUCUCCUUUGGAUGGGCCCGCUUUGUAUUAGCUAGCUGGUAGGGUAAAAGCCUACCAAGGCGACGAUCCAUAGCUGGUCUGAGAGGAUGAUCAGCCACACUGGGACUGAGACACGGCCCAGACUCCUACGGAAGGCAGCAGUGGGGAAUAUUGGACAAUGGGCGAAAGACUGAUCCAGCAAUGCCGCGAGAGUGAUGAAGGCGUUAGGGUUGGAAAGCUCUUUUACACGGGAUGAUAAUGACAGUACCGGGAGAAUAAGCUCCGGCUAACUCCGUG